GACGAACGCUGGCGGCGUGCUUAACACAUGCAAGUCGAGCGGUAAGGCCCUUCGGGUACGACGAGCGGCGAACGGGUGAGUAACACGUGGGUAGCCUGCCCUCAGCUCUGGGAUAAGCCCGGGAAACUGGGUCUAAUACCGGAUAUCACCUUGGGAGGCAUCUUCCGGGGUUGAAAGUUUUUGGCGGCUGAGGAUGGGCCCGCGGCCUAUCAGCUUGUUGGUGGGGUAGUGGCCUACCAAGGCGACGACGGGAGCCGGCCUGAGAGGGCGACCGGCCACACUGGGACUGAGACACGGCCCAGACUCCUACGGGAGGCAGCAGUGGGGAAUAUUGCACAAUGGGCGAAAGCCUGAUGCAGCGACGCCGCGUGA
rnacentral:rRNA from 1 species